AUUGAACGCUGGCGGCAGGCCUAACACAUGCAAGUCGAACGGUAGCACAGAGAGCUUGCUCUCGGGUGACGAGUGGCGGACGGGUGAGUAACGUCUGGGAAACUGCCCGAUGGAGGGGGAUAACUACUGGAAACGGUAGCUAAUACCGCAUAACGUCGCAAGACCAAAGUGGGGGACCUUCGGGCCUCACACCAGCGGAUGUGCCCAGCUGGGAUUAGCUAGUAGGUGGGGUAAUGGCUCACCUAGGCGACGAUCCCUAGCUGGUCUGAGAGGAUGACCAGCCACACUGGAACUGAGACACGGUCCAGACUCCUACGGGAGGCAGCAGUGGGGAAUAUUGCACAAUGGGCGCAAGCCUGAUGCAGCCAUGCCGCGUGUAUGAAGAAGGCCUUCGGGUUGUAAAGUACUUUCAGCGGGGAGGAAGGCGGUGAAGUUAAUAACUUCACCGAUUGACGUUACCCGCAGAAGAAGCACCGGCUAACUCCGUGCCAGCAGCCGCCGCCG
rnacentral:rRNA from 1 species